UACGUAGGUGGCAAGCGUUAUCCGGAUUCACUGGGUUUAAAGGGUGCGUAGGUGGGCAGGUAAGUCAGUGGUGAAAUCUCUGGGCUUAACUCAGAAACUGCCAUUGAUACUAUCUGUCUUGAAUACCGUGGAGGUCAGCGGAAUAUGUCAUGUAGCGGUGAAAUGCUUAGAUAUGACAUAGAACACCAAUUGCGAAGGCAGCUGGCUACACGAAUAUUGACACUGAUGCACGAAAGCGUGGGGAUCAAACAGG
rnacentral:rRNA from 1 species